rnacentral:rRNA from 1 species
AGAGUUUGAUCCUGGCUCAGAAUCAACGCUGGCGGCGUGCCUAACACAUGCAAGUCGAGCGAGAAAAGGGCUUCGGCCCUGAGUAAAGCGGCGCACGGGUGAGUAAUACGUGGGUAAUCUGCCCUCGAGUGGGGAAUAACACCGGGAAACCGGUGCUAAUACCGCAUACGAUCACGGAGUCUGCGGAUUUUGUGAUGAAA